CCUACGGGAGGCAGCAGUGAGGAAUAUUGGUCAAUGGCCGGAAGGCUGCACCAGCCAAAUCGCGUGAGGGACGACUGCCCUAUGGGUUGUAAACCUAUUGUAUAAGGGAAGAAAAAAUGCUACGUGUAGCAUGAUGCCUGUACCUUAUGAAUAAGCAUCGGCUAACUCCGUGCCAGCAGCCGCGGUAAUACGGAGGAUGCGAGCGUUAUCCGGAUUUAUGGGGUUUAAAGGGUGCGUAGGCGGUUUUUUAAGUUAGUGGUUAAACGUCGGGGCUUCACCUUGAUUUGCCAUUCAUCCUGUCAGACUCGAUUUCAGACGAGGUAGUCGGAAUGAGUUCCGUAGCGGUGAAAUGCUUAGAUAUAACUUAGAACUCCGAUCGCGAAGGCAGCUUACCAGACUGCGACUGACGCUGACGCACGAUCGCGUGGGUAGCGAACAGGAUUAGAUACCCCGGUAGUC
rnacentral:rRNA from 1 species